GGUGUAGCCCUCCUCUGGUGACUCCCUAGAUCGUCACCAUAGCUAUGUGCCCCCUGCCUCCAGGAGGCCUGGGGGGACCUGCACACUGGCAGAACAUGACCACAAGGUCAUCUCACAUGGUUCUCUCCUGGAUUGCACAUCUCCUUUGGGUUGAACUUUCUACAACUAUGUGUCUCUGCCUCUCUGCUGGAGGAUCUGCUCCGUGUCCACAGACACUGUGCUGAGGCUUCUGUCUCAUGUCC